rnacentral:rRNA from 1 species
AUUGAACGCUGGCGGAAUGCUUUACACAUGCAAGUCGAACGGCAGCACGGGUGCUUGCACCUGGUGGCGGGUGGCGAACGGGUGAGUAAUACAUCGGAACGUACCCAGUCGUGGGGGAUAACGUAGCGAAAGUUACGCUAAUACCGCAUACGUCCUGAGGGAGAAAGCGGGGGACCGUAAGGCCUCGCGCGAUUGGAGCGGCCGAUGGCGGAUUAGCUAGUUGGUGGGGUAAAGGCCUACCAAGGCGACGAUCCGUAGCGGGUCUGAGAGGACGGCCCGCCACACUGGAACUGAGACACGGUCCAGACUCCUACGGGAGGCAGCAGUGGGGAAUUUUGGACAAUGGGCGAAAGCCUGAUCCAGCCAUUCCGCGUGAGUGAAGAAGGCCUUCGGGUUGUAAAGCUCUUUCGGCAGGGAAGAAACGGCUUAGGAUAAUACCCCGGGCUAAUGACGGUACCUGAAGAAGAAGCACCGGCUAACUACGUGCCAGCAGCCGCGGUAA